GUGAACGCUGGCGGUAGGCCUAACACAUGCAAGUCGCACGGCAGCACAGUAAGAGCUUGCUCUUACGGGUGGCGAGUGGCGGACGGGUGAGGAAUACAUCGGAAUCUACUUUUUCGUGGGGGAUAACGUAGGGAAACUUACGCUAAUACCGCAUACGACCUACGGGUGAAAGCAGGGGAUCUUCGGACCUUGCGCGAUUGAAUGAGCCGAUGUCGGAUUAGCUGGUUGGCGGGGUAAAGGCCCACCAAGGCGACGAUCCGUAGCUGGUCUGAGAGGAUGAUCAGCCACACUGGAACUGAGACACGGUCCAGACUCCUACGGGAGGCAGCAGUGGGGAAUAUUGGACAAUGGGCGCAAGCCUGAUCCAGCCAUACCGCGUGGGUGAAGAAGGCCUUCGGGUUGUAAAGCCCUUUUGUUGGGAAAGAAAAGCAGCAGGUUAAUACCCCGCUGUUCUGACGGUACCCAAAGAAUAAGCACCGGCUAACUUCGU
rnacentral:rRNA from 1 species